rnacentral:lncRNA from 1 species
CUGCUCAUUUCCUUUACCCGUGUCUUUCCCCUGACUUUCUAGACUACCACAGUCCUGGGAAUGGGACACAUUGCUGAUUUGCCUCUGCAUUCUGCUCAGCGCUGGGCCAGUGCCUGCCAUGAGUGGGUUCCUGCUUGGUUUCUGAGGCGUACUAAAGAAGCCUUCACAACCGGCUGACUUGCUCUGACGGGAAUUUUGCUGGCUGGAGCGGGUGAUGUAGGGUGACUUCUCAGCAGGGUAUGAAUUUUCAAUACUAUGGUAAGAGCAGCAUGAUUGGAAGAGAGGCAUAUUUCACUCAAAUACACUCUGUUAUCUUUGUUUUACAUUUAAAUGAAACAUUUGGGCCUGCAUGAAAUUUGGAUGACACAUUAAGGGCAAUUUCCGCAGCGUGAUUCCUGUUGCUGAUUAAAGACUCAAGGCCUCCUGGAGUACACUGUUUGGGUUACUGAUUGGCCAAGAGCUGUUUCCCCACCGCGAGUAAGUUCCAUUUUCCCUGGGAGAACUGAAGAGCAGGGCUUUUCAGGCACAGCCAAGGAGAACGCUCUCUUCCAGAAGUCCAAGCCCCUGAGUAUAGCCCCUGAGCUCUCCUCCUAGCUACACACGAAACAAAGAAACGUCAGCUACACUGUGUAGUGAAGAAUUAACCUUCUGCAAAAGAGGUCUGGCCUUUAUCCUCAGCUUCUGGUGAAUAAUCUUUCUUUAGUGUCUUUCUUUGCCUGGGGGCUCAUUGUUCACAGUGGAUAGUCAACAAAAUUCAGGGUUGGAACUGACCACUUCCAUAGAGCCUUUGGAUUGGGGCUGUCCUCCCCAGAAAAACCAACCGUGUGACUUUGGGCAGAGAUUUUGAGUCUCCAGUGUCCGUGGCCUCGAGACUGAGAUCAUGCCUAUGUAAUGGAACACCAAUGUAAACUAACCACUGAGUCUUCAGUGAAUUUCCUUGAUUAGCAAUACUCUGUGCAUAUUGUCCAACAUCAAUGCCAGACAUAAAUAUCACAAGGUGUCCUGACUCUACCAAGAAAAGACAACUGAAGCUCUGCAUUUGAAAACUACCUGGACUCUGCCCCAUGUGUCUCUACCUUUGACUGA